AUACGGAGGAUCCGAGCGUUAUCCGGAUUUAUUGGGUUUAAAGGGUGCGUAGGCGGCCUUUUAAGUCAGCGGUGAAAGUCUGUGGCUCAACCAUAGAAUUGCCGUUGAAACUGGGAGGCUUGAGUAUGUUUGAGGCAGGCGGAAUGCGUGGUGUAGCGGUGAAAUGCGUAGAGAUCACGCAGAACCCCGAUUGCGAAGGCUCCCGGCCAAGCCAUGACUGACGCUGAUGCACGAAAGCGUGGGGAUCAAACAGGAUUAGAUACCCUGGUAGUCCACGCAGUAAACGAUGAUCACUAGCUGUUUGCGAUACAGUGUAAGCGGCACAGCGAAAGCGUUGAGUGAUCCACCUGGGGAGUACGCCGGCAACGGUGAAACUCAAAGGAAUUGACGGGG
rnacentral:rRNA from 1 species